rnacentral:tRNA from 1 species
AGCGGGGUAGAGGAAUUGGUCAACUCAUCAGGCUCAUCACCUGAAGACUGCAGGUUCGAAUCCUGUCCCCGCCU